rnacentral:rRNA from 1 species
GACGAACGCUGGCGGCGUGCUUAACACAUGCAAGUCGAACGGAAAGGCCCUGCUUGCAGGGUGCUCGAGUGGCGAACGGGUGAGUAACACGUGGGUGAUCUGCCCCUUACUUUGGGAUAAGCCUGGGAAACUGGGUCUAAUACUGGAUAGGACCAUGCUGUAGGUGGUGUGGUGGAAAGAUUAGUUUCGGUAAGGGAUGAGCUCGCGGCCUAUCAGCUUGUUGGUGGGGUAUUGGCCUACCAAGGCGUCGACGGGUAGCCGGCCUGAGAGGGUGGACGGCCACAUUGGGACUGAGAUACGGCCCAGACUCCUACGGGAGGCAGCAGUGGGGAAUAUUGCACAAUGGGCGCAAGCCUGAUGCAGCGACGCCGCGUGGGGGAUGACGGCCUUCGGGUUGUAAACUCCUUUCAGCCAUGACGAAGCCCUUGUGGUGACGGUAGUGGGAGAAGAAGCACCGGCUAACUACGUG